CCGGUUUCUGUCUCAGUUGUACCGACGAACCUAAAAGAUCUAAGCAAUAAGCAAAAGGGAGACCGGUCGACCCCUUAAAAUCUGUGCACAGUGUCCGGACGAAGAUGCAGGACGCGUACAACCCGGAGAUUGAGUGUUGAUAAGAAGUUGGAAAAAGAAUCCCCUAACACCGAAGUGGGAAAGACUGUAUCAAGUCUUACUAACAACUGAUUCUGCAAUCCGAACCGCAGAGAAAGGAUGAACACAUGCAAGUCGAAUUAAGAGACCUGUGGAGCCACAAAAAACAAACUAAUAACUAGAAAGUGGUUAGCCCGGCUGGGGACCUGAGACUUAAAAUAUCCUGG